GUUGAGGUUGGGCGAAGGUUUUUAGAUUUUGUUACUCCACCUUCAUUUUGUAAAUUAAAGUGGAUCUAGUGAUCUUUAAAUCAGUUUUAAGUUUUAGCUUUGCUUUCUCUCUGAAUUAGGGGCUUUUAUGUCUGCAUUGAAUCUUUGUGUUGGUUUUGUUGUUCAUCAGGGAAAUUGGAUGUUCCUUGGCUUGCAUAUAUUUGGUGGAUCCUUUUCACGAAGAAUAAGUUCUCCUAAUUCUUAAUUUUUCCCCGAAAUUCUAAUUUUUUGUAAUAUUUUUUACAUGGAUACAUGCAUUGCAAUCUUGUUUUAUGUUUAAAAGCAUGACAAGCAUGUAAUAUAUAUAGUAUCCUAAUCUAGCUAACAUUCAUUUUAGGCUGGCAGUGCGACUCCUGUACUUGGGCGGCCGAGAAUCUGUGGAGGAUUUGGACGGAUGAUUCAAGUCGGACGAGGCUAUUUGCAUUCCUCUCUCCUAGUUAUCAUUCAAUUUAGGCCGAGGGUUUGAAAUCGAAACUUGGGUUAUUGAGGCUCGAGGCAGGUCUCACGAUUUUGAAACACUACAUUCAUUUUGUUAUUUGCAUAGGGUUUUUCAUAUUUAAAUUAGCGUUUUAAGGUUUUGAUUACACAGUUUAUUGGAGUUGAAUUAAUGAUCUUUGUAUCAUUGUCAAAGCUUAGUUUUCAUUUCUCUUUGUUUUAUAGGUUUUGAAAUCAAUGCUGAAUUUUUGGAUGGUUUUCUUGUUUU